rnacentral:rRNA from 1 species
ACACAUGCAAGUCGAACGAUGAAGCCCAGCUUGCUGGGUGGAUUAGUGGCGAACGGGUGAGUAACACGUGAGUAACCUGCCCUUAACUCUGGGAUAAGCCUGGGAAACUGGGUCUAAUACCGGAUAGGAGCGCCUACCGCAUGGUGGGUGUUGGAAAGAUUUAUCGGUUUUGGAUGGACUCGCGGCCUAUCAGCUUGUUGGUGAGGUAAUGGCUCACCAAGGCGACGACGGGUAGCCGGCCUGAGAGGGUGACCGGCCACACUGGGACUGAGACACGGCCCAGACUCCUACGGGAGGCAGCAGUGGGGAAUAUUGCGCAAUGGGGGAAACCCUGACGCAGCAACGCCGCGUGAAUGAAGAAGGCCUUAGGGUUGUAAACCUCUUUUAUCAGGGACGAUAAUGACGGUACCUGAUGAAUAAGCCACGGCUAACUACGUGCCAGCAGCCGCGGUAAUACGUAGGUGGCAAGCGUUGUCCGGAUUUACUGGGCGUAAAGAGCGCGCAGGCGGUCGUUCAAGUCGCGUGUGAAAGCCCCCGGCUCAACUGGGGAGGGUCACGCGAUACUGAUCGACUCGAAGGCAGGAGAGGGUAGUGGAAUUCCCGGUGUAGUGGUGAAAUGCGUAGAUAUCGGGAGGAACACCAGUGGCGAAGGCGACUACCUGGCCUGUUCUUGACGCUGAGCCGCGAAAGCUAGGGGAGCAAACGGGAUUAGAUACCCCGGUAGUCCACGCCGUAAACGAUGAGUGCUAAGUGUUAGAGGGUUUCCGCCCUUUAGUGCUGCAGCUAACGCAUUAAGCACUCCGCCUGGGGAGUAA